rnacentral:misc_RNA from 1 species
AGUCCGGCUGAAAGUGGAAUGAGGUUAGUCGUAUUGUUGUGUUUGUACCCUUGGAUUGCUAUAUUUUGUCUCGCAAGCGACAGCUUGAUUCGCCUAUUGGCUUAUUUGAAUGAACUCUCUAAACCGAUUCGUCAGAUACAUGAAUUAUUUUAAUCGAAAAUCGAAUUUGGCGUGAUAUCUAUCGUGUAAUGUGCACUAACCUUACCCGGGUUGAAAGUUCGGACGAUUUCAUAACAUUAACGAUACAUUACGGAGUUUUAUUUUACCCUGCUCAAUAUAAAUAUGCUAUCUUUUUUUCGUAAAUUAUCAAUAUCAGACAAAGUGAAAGAUGGCAUAUUGCCUUACGGAGUGAUGGCAACUGCGGAAGAUCUACUAAAAGCGAAGAAUCAGAGCAGUUUAAUAUUGCAGGACGAAACUGAAUUGCGAGAAUCUAUUUACGAUUUACUGCGGACGAUAAAAGACCCAGAGAAACCACAAACAUUAGAGGAACUUGAUGUUGUUUAUGAGGAUUGUGUGCACAUAGAAAAACCAACAGCAAAAGGUGUGACGGUUAUCAAGAUUGAGUUUAAUCCAACCGUACCCCAUUGCUCCUUGGCCACAUUAAUCGGACUUUGUAUUCGUGUAAAACUAGAAAGACACCUUGUCGCUUUGUUCAAAUUGGAUAUAUACAUCAAAGAAGGGGCACAUACCACCGAAGUUGAAAUAAACAAACAAAUAAAUGACAAAGAACGGAUAGCAGCUGCCAUGGAAAAUCCAAACCUACGGGAACUAGUGGAAAAAUGUAUUCGGGAGGAAGAAUGAAUAGUCUGCACAUUGAGCACACAUCUGUUGCUGGACCAUCACAUCCAAGCGAGGCGCAUCCCCGUCACUGAUGUCCAACGAUCCAAGAGGCACACUGCUAACAGGAUGCAGCAACAGCUCCCUAUUACCAAGAUUUUCGUAGAUCCUGUACUCUCUAUUUUCCGGUAAUGCUCCUUCCUCUAUUUCCUCAGGUAUUUCGUUCACUAAUAUUCGAGCUCUAUAUUUCGGCGACAAAUCUAUGCCACAAAAUCAUUCAGACAAGUAGAUUAUCAGAAAAACUGACGCAUGCAACAUCCAGCAAGCAGUUCACAGCUUGUGGAAAUUCAUCCUCACAAUUUUGGUAGGAAAUUCUGUACACAUGUCUUCCAGCCCCGAAGAUGAUGUCUCCGCGGAGUGAUGAGAAAGCAAUGUUAUAAGCACUCGUGUUUAUUUCUAAAACCUAGAAGUGUGACAUUCCUUCCAAUGAACUAUGAAGCAGCAAAAUCUGCCCUGAAAAAACCACAUUAUUCACCUUAACGGGAAUAUUUUGGUGAUCCCACAGACGAAUCGUGUUAUCCGUUGAAGAUGUUGCGCAUAUUUGAAGAGACUCCGAUGCUGCGAUGUCGAGUAUCAAAUCGGUAUGGUCUUUUGAUGGGUGAUGAUCUAGUCGAACUGAUGAAUAAUGUGAUAAGUGUGACUUUCAGUGGAAGUUUGCACUGAAUAAAUACCUGUCUCUACCAUAUCAUACAUAAAUAAUUGAUGCAUCGAACUCGCAGGGGUACUGCUGACCAUGCACAUGACUGAUCUGUGAAAACAUCAACUGACUUAUCUAUAUCGCAAGGAAAGUAAAAGCGAUAAUCUAGUAUCCUUUAGACUCACCCUAUAGUAACAAUAUGUGUUAUCGGAACUGUAUAGUAAAUAGAGUGUGCUAGAGCUAGCGGUACAGCCAAGAUGGGAUAUACACGCCAGACCUUCACACAUUUAUCUUCGCCAACGGACGAAACAAGUUUCGAGAUAGUCGAUGACCACAGUUUUGUUACGGGUCCUUUGUGGCCCUACGAAAUUCUUAUGAGGGUGAGUCGGAUUUUGUCCUUCUUUAUACAAGCGAAUUUUGAAGUUACCAAAGUUAUUUACCGAAAAUCUGCAUUCGUGUUUGCCACUCGAUUCGUCUAUACUUAUGAUAUCACCCGCCGUAGUACCCACGAAAAUUAGAGUGUGUUUUGGAAAAAUUAUUCGUGGUUCUGAAAGGCAUGGAAAUAUUGGGAAUAUGAUAAGAUAAUGGAAUCGCGAUAAUGAUUACUUUGGGGUCGACGGUCUGGACCAAGAAUUUCUUCGUAAUAUUCGUAAGCUGUGAUACAUGUGAUAACGCAAUCAUCGGUCACCCAGACGUGCCUGCAAAUAAAUUGUAUCGCCGCAAUUGCAAUUAAUUUUUUCAAACCAUAAAAUAUCAUUUACUUCAGUUCCAUCGGGUUCAUCCGUGUAUUACUGACAAGAAUUUCACCGGUUUUCAAAAUGAUCGUGUAUAAUCUUUCUGUAAACAAGGGCGACCUUCAGUUUCGUGUAUCAUAACAUGGUUCAAGCAUACUGCCGAUGUUUACCUCUACUCCCACUGUAUGCCAUCGACACCAAGUCCAAAGUAUUUGGUAAUAUUUGAAGAUUUGUCUGUCUUCCAGUCGGUGAAGUUAGAAUACGUAUAGUAUUGUCGGUACUCCGUACAAUAACUCUUGUCGAGUACAUUGGAUGCACCGUUGUUAUAAUUUGCGUCGCAGACUCUCUACGAUGGAAUAAGCGUAUUUAAUCUAUGCGGAGUAUCGCCUAUCUCAGAAAAUGAUUCCAUCUGUAAUAAUGAGGACAUCCGGCGAUGCUGAAAGAUUGCUGAUAGGACGGGAAAAUGUUCGGUAAUCAAUUUCUGUAAGGUGAACCUUUCGCCGAAGAUUGCAGCUCCAUACUUGUAAGACGUUGUCUUCGGCGAAUGUAAUAAAUCCGCAAAUAGAAGGAUGCGGCGCUAUAAGUCUUACAAAUCCCUUAUGACCCUGACGACAGUUCAUCAUAGAAUUCAGUCCAAGAUCCCAACCCAUUACUAGAUAAUGCAGUGAUAAAGGAGUUAUAAUCCACUGGCUAGCGAUUUGAAAGAGCAUGGUUGUAAUGGAGGAUUCGGUGGCACUGGGAUUUCGGGCGAGAAACAUCACUGGCACAGCAUCC